GCAGAGUAGGUUUAUGUGCGUUAAGUGCCGGCUGUACAGGGAGUUGACAGUCAGACGAAAAGAGAAAUCUUGCGGUACAUAGGCCGCAUCCCGCUGC
rnacentral:ncRNA from 1 species